GUGGGGAAUCUUCCGCAAUGGACGAAAGUCUGACGGAGCGACGCCGCGUGAGUGAAGAAGGCCUUCGGGUCGUAAAGCUCUGUCAUCAGGGACGAACGGCCGGUGGAGUGGAAAGCCAUCGGAUUGACGGUACCUGAGAAGGAAGCCACGGCUAACUACGUGCCAGCAGCCGCGGUAAUACGUAGGUGGCAAGCGUUGUCCGGAAUUAUUGGGCGUAAAGCGCGCGCAGGUGGGAUCUUAAGUCCAUUUUUAAAGUUCGGAGCUCAACUCCGUGAUGGGAUGGAAACUGGGAUUCUUGAGUACCGGAGAGGAAAGCGGAAUUCCCCGUGUAGCGGUGAAAUGCGUAGAUAUGGGGAGGAACACCAGUGGCGAAGGCGGCUUUCUGGACGGUGUCUGACACUGAGGUGCGAAAGCGUGGGUAGCGAACAGGAUUAGAUACCCCUGUAGUCC
rnacentral:rRNA from 1 species